GGAUGCGAUCUACCAGCACUAAAGCACCGGAUCCCAUCAGAACUCCGAAGUUAAGCGUGCUUGGGCGAGAGUAGUACUAGGAUGGGUGACCUCCUGGGAAGUCCUAGUGUUGCAUUCC
rnacentral:rRNA from 1 species